CUCGCCGUUUCCUUCUCUUCGCCCGCGCCUUCUCCUCCAGAGCCCUAACCGCUCGAGGCGGUUCUUCAUCCCCUCUCCUCUCCCGAGCCGAUCUCCACUUUUCCCCUCCUCUUCAUUUCUUCUUCCCCAGCCGAUUCUCUCUUCCUUUUUGGAUCUGUGCAUUUCUUUUCUCCCGAUCCUUUUUGUUCUUUCUUCCUUCUGAUCUCCACUGCCGAUGCCGAGCCUAUCUCCUCUUCCUCGCCUCUGUCCGAUCGUUAGAUCCAGUGUUGUCGGUGAUCUUUGAGCCACCGUCGGUCAAGUUUCUCUCUUGACCGAUCCACCUUUGCCGGCCACAAGGCCGACCAGUGGUGCCAUUCUUCUGCCCUAGCGUCGGCGACCCGCCCCUUUUUAGUGUUGCUCCUCCUCAGCCCUAGUUCCGGCACAAGGAAUUGGAUUACACUCUAGUAAUUGGAAACUAGUGAGAGUAAUUGAUGGAGAGCUUCUCUUCAAUUCAGCAGCCUCUAGUUUCUUCAUUGAACGAUUACAGUGUUGCAUUGAGGGGAUUGACUCAUUUACAGGAUUGAGGCUGUUAAUCUGUGCAGCUUGAGUGGGUGCGGAUUUGGGAAAUCAACAACUUCACCUAGCCAGGUUGCAAUGACCGACAUCAUACUUUUUGGCUGUGAGUCAUCAGUGGUGGUAUGAAUUAGGGUUGAUGCUGUCAGGAGAAAGUUUCAGUUGCUAGUCCCCUGCAUACCACGAAAAAUGCUGGAUGAUCUUUUAGUUUUAUUGUUUAGACUAUGUCCGACUUAUUCUGGUUUUGAUACUAUGGAUUUUGAUACUAUGGAUCUGGUAUGAAUGUAUGUGUUGAUGGUUUUGGUGUUUGGAUA